rnacentral:tRNA from 1 species
GGGGUUGUGGCUCAGUGGUGAGUGCUUGCCUAGCAUGAGUGAGGCACUGGGUUCGAUCCCCAGUACCCUA